rnacentral:lncRNA from 1 species
CCUCGAUAUCUCACAAACUCUCUGGUUUGUACAUCAAUUUUUUUUAAAAAAUACUUGGUUUAACUUGAUUUUUUAAGUGUAAUCAGAUACUUAAAUGCUAAAUACUAACUACUAACUUGAGGACUUAAAAAUUUAAAAAUUUUUAUUAUUCACCCCUCCAACUUAAUCGAUAUUGUCCUCAAUAGAGUAGAAAAAAUGAAGGGUGGAUACAAAAAAAAAAA